GAGACAGCAGUCGCCGCGGGAAUACAGAGGGUGCAAGCGUUAAUCGGAAUUACUGGGCGUAAAGCGCGCGUAGGUGGUUUGUUAAGUUGGAUGUGAAAUCCCCGGGCUCAACCUGGGAACUGCAUUCAAAACUGACUGACUAGAGUAUGGUAGAGGGUGGUGGAAUUUCCUGUGUAGCGGUGAAAUGCGUAGAUAUAGGAAGGAACACCAGUGGCGAAGGCGACCACCUGGACUAAUACUGACACUGAGGUGCGAAAGCGUGGGGAGCAAACAGGAUUAGAUACCCCUGUAGUCCCUGUCUCUUAUAC
rnacentral:rRNA from 1 species